GGACCCGGUGAGUCACGGACCUCCCCAAAGAACCUGGGGAAAGAACUACCUACCCUCCCCGCCUCUCCCAACUCGUCACUCACACGGGUGACUUGGUUGCAUAUGCGGGGUGGGGCCGGUUACGUUCGCCGCGACAACCUCGCACACAAAGACGGCCCCCGGCCGGGACGGCAAUCCCGAUCGAAGGCCUGACCACCCAGGAAGUAGACCCUUCCCG
rnacentral:ncRNA from 1 species